UGAGGAGCGAGAGCAUGGGUAGCGAACAGGAUUAGAUACCCUGGUAGUCCAUGCUGUAAACGGUGGGCGCUAGGUGUGGGGACUUUCCAUGGUUUCCGUGUCGUAGCUAACGCGUUAAGCGCCCCGCCUGGGGAGUACGGCCGCAAGGCUAAAACUCAAAGGAAUUGACGGGGGCCCGCACAAGCGGCGGAGCAUGUGGAUUAAUUCGAUGCAACGCGAAGAACCUUACCUGGGUUUGACAUGCACUAGAUGAGGCGAGAGAUCGUCUGUCCCUUUGUGGCUGGUGUGCAGGUGGUGCAUGGUUGUCGUCAGCUCGUGUCGUGAGAUGUUGGUUAAGUCCCGCAACGAGCGUAACCCUUGUCUUAUGUUGCCAGCACGUUGUGGUGGGGACUCGUGAGAGACUGCCGGGGUGAACUCGGAGGAAGGUGGGGAUGACGUCAAAUCAUCAUGCCCCUUAUGUCCAGGGCUUCACACAUGCUACAAUGGCCGGUACAGUAGGUUGCGAGACCGUGAGGUGGAGCUAAUCCUUUAAAGCUGGUCGUAGUUCGGAUUGGGGUCUGCAACUCGACCCCAUGAAGUCGGAGUCGCUAGUAAUCGCAGAUCAGCAACGCUGCGGUGAAUACGUUCCCGGGCCUUGUACACACCGCCC
rnacentral:rRNA from 1 species